rnacentral:lncRNA from 1 species
CCUGCCAUAUGCACUGAAUUCUUCAGAGGCAGUUUGGUUUUCUCCUGAAAUUUAGUUCUACCUGGGUUUCCUCCAGGCCUUUCCAUCAUCCCUAAUUCCAAGGAAACCCCAAGGAGACCAUUGGCUCUGGAUUGAGAAAGACAUAAGUUGGAAUCUCAAGUCUGCCCUCUUACUGCUUACAACCUUGGUGAUGGGCUGCAUAGCAGGACAUUUCAGGGAAUUCCCAGGUGAGGAAACUUCUUCGAACAAGGCAAGUUGCUACCUCCUCCUCAACUUCUAGUCUUGAAGAUGUACACAGAUCACUGAAGGGUCAAGUGUCUUCCCCAGAAAUGGUCAGAAGCAGGACUUACUUGAAGCCAUGUCUCUAAGGUCUGGGAAAACAUGGAAUCUUCUCCACCAUCAAAGGGAGAAUCUCAGUCUUUUGUUGAGGUUAGUUUGGGGUUGUAUAGAGGCCUUAAAGUCUCUCCCUCUUCCUCUCAUGCCCUUGGCUCUCUGUGUCUUUAAGAAAAAUGGAUCAAAACAUUAUUUGGCCAUUUGAAAGCAAUUUUAAUGUGGCUUAGUAAGUUUAUCCGGCUCUUAAAUUUUGGAGUUGGCUCCUAAAUCCAAAGCAAAUUGGUCAAGGUCUGUGGGAUUUCAUAGAACAAAGGGGCCAAAAGCACAGGCAGAAUUCCAUUCAAUUCUACUUGAUGACAGCUUU